CCUACGGGUGGCAGCAGUGAGGCAUAUUGGUCAAUGGGCUAGAGCCUGAACCAGCCAAGUCGCGUGAGGGAAGACGGUCCUAUGGAUUGUAAACCUCUUUUGCCGGGGAGCAAAAAGCGGUACGUGUACCGCAUCGAGAGUACCCGGAGAAACAGCAUCGGCUAAGUACGUGCCAGCAGCCGCGGUAAUAAGGAGGAUGCGAGCGUUAUCCGGAUUUAUUGGGUUUAAAGGGUGCGCAGGCGGCGAGUUAAGUCAGCGGUAAAAUUUCGGGGCUCAAACCCGACAAGUCGUUGACACUGGCUUGCUAGAGUGGGCGAGAAGUAUGCGGAAGGCGUGGUGUAGCGGUGAAAUGCAUAGAUAUCACGCAGAACUCCGAUUGCGAAGGCAGCAUACCGGCGCCCAACUGACGCUCAGGCACGAAAGCGUGGGUAUCGAACAGGAGUAGAUACCCGUGUAGUC
rnacentral:rRNA from 1 species